UAUUGGCAAAACAAGACCGACCAAGCUUCAUUUGGACCAAGAAGGCUAAAGCCUCGUCGUAAAGUUCGUUAGAGGGCAUUUCUAGAGCCUCCGUACCCUCAAGAGGUGGGGGGUGUCAUCCCGAAGCAUUCGGAUUUCCUUUUAUGUCUAAGUUAUUUAUGUUGAUCAUAUUGCAUUAUAGGAUUAAUAGAUGUAUAUUUUCUUUUCCUUGCAUGCUUCUUAGUAGUGUAACUUAUAAGUCGAACACAUGGACUAGGGUAGCAUGAGGAUUGGGUCUUGUGACAUGAAAAAUCCUAUAAUGGCAUAAAGAACCGAACUUGGACAUAGCCUAGUAGAGUGGCAUUGAACGAGUGUAGUAGAAACACUAAACAUGAACGAGUGGCAAGUAGAAUAAUUGAGACAUUUGCUACAAUGACUGAACGAGUGGCAUCGAGUCUAGUGUAGUAAACAGGUCAUGAACCUAGGGAUAGUAGUGGUCGCAACAUUAAUUAUAUAUCAUGAUUGUGCAGCAGAGGCACAUUGACCCUUGUAGAUAGGGUAUCCUCUUGUGAGGAUUGGAUCAUACUCACUAGUCUGUUUUCGCUGUCGGUGGUCGCUCCACCGUGGCACGAGUCUCCGGAGUACUUUACUAGGGGCAGACGUAGUUGUCCCGCAGACGGUCUCGGUGUGCGAGUGCAGCUUCUCCUCACCUAUGAGAUUGAGAGUGAGUCGAGGGCUUAACCUACGGGUUAGCCAAGUAGAUUGGGUAAUAAACAUGAAAUGCAUAGUAGAUUUGCAUUAUUACCUUGAGUAGACAUAGUGUAUAUUGUAGUUUGCAUUGCUAUGUACCUUUCUAUACUCAUGACAUGAUACUAGCAUGAUAGUAGUUGUUGCAUGCAUUAUUAUCAU
rnacentral:lncRNA from 1 species